GAAAUGCGAUAAUUAAUGUGAAUUGCAGAAUUCAGUGAAUCAUCGAGUCUUUGAACGCACAUUGCGCCCCCUGGUAUUCCGGGGGGGCAUGCCUGUCCGAGCGUCAUUGCUGCCCUCAAGCACGGCUUGUGUGUUGGGCUUCCGUCCCUGGCAACGGGGACGGGCCCAAAAGGCAGCGUCGCGGUGAUCCGCUAAGCCAGAGCGUAUGGGGACGCUACAGUCACACGCUCGCGGCGCGGACCGGCGCUGGCCGACCCCCCUAACCAUUCUACGGUUUGACCUCGGAUCAGGUAGGGAUACCCGCUGAACUUAAGC
rnacentral:misc_RNA from 1 species